rnacentral:rRNA from 1 species
UCCUGGCUCAGGAUGAACGCUAGCGGCAGGCCUAACACAUGCAAGUCGAGGGGUAUUAGGAGCUUGCUCCUAAGAGACCGGCGCACGGGUGCGUAACGCGUAUGCAAUCUACCUUGUACAGGGGAAUAGCCCAGAGAAAUUGGAUUAAUGCCCCAUAGUAUAAUUGAAUCGCAUGGUUAAUUAUUAAAGUUCCAACGGUACAAGAUGAGCAUGCGUCCCAUUAGUUAGUUGGUAAGGUAACGGCUUACCAAGACAAUGAUGGGUAGGGGUCCUGAGAGGGAGAUCCCCCACACUGGUACUGAGACACGGACCAGACUCCUACGGGAGGCAGCAGUGAGGAAUAUUGGUCAAUGGGCGCAAGCCUGAACCAGCCAUGCCGCGUGCAGGAAGACGGUCCUAUGGAUUGUAAACUGCUUUUAUACAGGAAGAAACAACGCUACGUGUAGCGUCUUGACGGUACUGUAGGAAUAAGGAUCGGCUAACUCCGUG